AUACGGAGGGUGCAAGCGUUGUUCGGAAUCACUGGGCGUAAAGGGCGCGCAGGCGGUUUGGUAAGUCAGAUGUGAAAGCCCACGGCUCAACCGUGGAAGUGCAUUUGAAACUGUCAGACUUGAGUACUAGAGGGGAAAGUGGAAUUCCCGGUGUAGAGGUGAAAUUCGUAGAUAUCGGGAGGAAUACCGGUGGCGAAGGCGACUUUCUGGCUAGAUACUGACGCUGAGGCGCGAAAGCGUGGGGAGCAGACAGGAUUAGAAACCCUAGUAGUCC
rnacentral:rRNA from 1 species